GUUUUAAAUGACAUGAUUGUAUAGAAGACAAAAAUGGAUAUUUGCGACGUUACUUGCUACUUUAUUAAACAGGCAAUUCUUAAAAGGUGCAAUGUGUUUUGAUGUCUAGCCAUUUACUUUUUACACAAAAAUGUUAGAAUUGGAAGAGAACUUAAACUUUUUUUUUCUUCAACAGACUAAUUUUGCAUCAGAAGAGAGGAUGCUGAGCACUGGAAUUGGUGCCCCUGGAUUUGACCAGAAGGAAGAGUCUAACCCAGAAAAUUUGACUCCUUGAGACACGGAUUCUCUGGCAACCCCCGGCAUGUGCGUGGUCUUGGCUCAUCCAAAGACCCCUUGUUGAUUUUGCAUCUGGACAUAGUGGGCCAACAUUGUAUGAUGUACAAGGUGUCAGUAAAGCCUGCAGGGGAUCCUUCGAUCCUAGCAAAAUGACAAGUCUCAUUGUUCCUGUGAGGGAGCAGACAAAGAGACCAGAGGAUUUAACUCUUUCAAGUGAAUGCUAUCCUACUUUGAGUUCUGCCUUGAGAGGUGAGCUUCCCUGAGCUACAUACAAUUGAAUAAAACUGUAUUAUUAGUAAAAGCCCCUUCA
rnacentral:lncRNA from 1 species